rnacentral:rRNA from 1 species
AACGAACGUUGGCGGCGUGGAUGAGGCAUGCAAGUCGCACGUGAAAGUCGCAAGAUGAGUAAAGUGGCGGACGGGCGAGUAACACGUAAUCGAGCUGCCCACGAGACGGGGAUAACCUCGGGAAACCGAGGCUAAUACCCGAUGGUCUCACCGGAUCGCAUGGUCUGGUGAGUAAAUGCUGGGGUCCUUCGGGACCUGGUGCUUGUGGAGGUGAUUGCGGCCCAUCAGCUAGUUGGCGGGGUAACGGCCCACCAAGGCGAUGACGGGUAGCCGGCCUAAGAGGGUGGUCGGCCGCACUGGGACUGAGAUACUGCCCAGACUCCUACGGAGGCUGCAGUCGAGAAUCUUCCGGCAAUGGGCAAAGCCUGACGGAGCGACGCCGCGUGGAGGACGAAGGCCUC